CGGAGAUAAUAGCAUAUUGUCUUAGUGGCGAACGGGUGAGUAACCCGAAGGUGAUCUGCCCCGAAGUGAGGAAUAACAGUUCGAAAGAAUUGCUAAUACCCCAUGUGAUCUUAGAGAUUAGACGCUCUUUGAUUAAAGAAUUUAUUCGCUUCGGGAGGAGCCUGCGUCCCAUCAGCUAGUUGGUAAGGUAACGGCUUACCAAGGCGAUGACGGGUAGGGGACCUGAGAGGGUGGCCCCCCCCACAAUGGAACUGAAACACGGUCCAUACACCUACGGGUGGCAGCAGUAGGGAAUAUUAGUAAUGGGCGAAAGCCUGAACUAGCAACACCGCGUGUGCGAUGAAGGCCUUCGGGUUGUAAAGCACUUUUAGAGAGGACGAGGAAGGACGGUACUCUCUGAAUAAGUCUCGGCUAACUACGUGCCAGCAGCCGCGGUAAAACGUAGGAGGCAAACGUUAUCCGGAUUUACUGGGCGUAAAGCGCGUGUAGGUGGUUCUGUAAGUAGGGCGUGAAAGCUCCCGGCUCAACUGGGAGAGGCCGUUCUAAACUGCAGAGCUAGAGGAUGGUAGAGGGAGGUGGAAUUCCAGGUGUAGCGGUGGAAUGCGCAGAUAUCUGGAGGGAACACCAGUGGCGAAAGCGGCCUCCUGGACCAUUCCUGACACUCAGACGCGAAAGCUAGGGUAGAAAACGGGAUUAGAGACCCCGGUAGUCCUAGCCCUAAACGUUGUGAACUAGACGUCGGCGGUGUAAUAGCUGUCGGUGUCCAAGCUAACGCG
rnacentral:rRNA from 1 species